AUUGAACUAUAAAUAAACUGGAAGGCUAACUCAGGGGGGGAAAUUGAAGCCAGUGCAUUUUAGUUUUUCUGAGUUAUGAGCAGAAAUACUCAACACUGAACGUUGGGCUAUAUAUCAAAUUGAACUGAAAAACUCUAUUUGGUGUAGAAAUUUCAAGACUUUAGCUAAAAGGGAAAUAUUGAAAAACUACAAACAUAAUUACCGAUAAUUUGCCGUUUUGCAGUUGUUUUUGUAUUUUUUAAAGAUUUUUCUUUUCGCUGAAGUCUUGAAAUUUCCACACCGAAUAGCAAUUUUCAACAGCUUCAAUUUGAUAUAUAGGCCGACGUUUGGGGUCAAGUAUUUCUGCUCAUAACUCAGAAAAACUAUUUUGGCUUCAUCAAAUCAUAGGCCUUCAUCAUAGCAGUUAGCCUUCCAGUUUAUUUAUAGUUCAAUGGU